AUUGCUUCUCAGCCAAGAUCAAGUGUAGUAAAUGUUCUUAUCAGUUUACUAUGUAACACAUCCAAAGACAAAAUAUUAAAUGGAAUUAUGGAUCAGGGAGAAAAAAUAGGAGCUUUGCUCCAUCUACUCCACACGUCAACCUGGUAUUGCAGUACUUCCAGGAACAGUGCAACUCCU
rnacentral:snRNA from 1 species